UGGCUUUAGACACCGAGAGAGGCUGGCGGCCCAGGUCUUGUGGCCACAUCUGUCCAAGCUCCUACUCUGAUUGAACAGUUGGAUGAUCAGACUGAUGAUGAAAAGUGCUACACAGUUCUCACACAUCUUCUGACUCCGAAGCCGCUGCAGUGUAAAAUCUGAGAUGUCUUUUCUGGUUGAUUUUGUGCAGAUUUCUGACAGCGACAGCGAUGGUGAGGGAAGCAGUGUACCGAACUCUCAGAUGACUCGGACCAGGUGACCAAACCCAUGCAAAGCACAAUGACUGUGCUGAGGCGUUCCGCCCCCCUCCCCCUCCACACCACUCAAGGCACGGCGGCGGCCCAACCGCAAACUAACGGAGAUUAACAAGAGGCUGGAUGCGCUUGGCUCCCUGCUGCGUCCAUCACCAGAGGGGCCGGGAUUGCUGCGGCAGCUAGCCAAUUAAAGGAGGAGGAUGAAGGAGAGGAGUCUGACGAUGCAGACAUCGCCAUCGUAUGCAGUACACGCCCUCGCAGGAAAACCAGCCAAUGAAAACGCUUGCAGCCGCAUCAGCAGAACACACCGGCACGACUGACAGAGCUUCUGAAGCAUGCAGUGGAAGAGCUGUCAGUCAAGCUAAAGGUUCCGCCCUCCAACCUGCUGCUGCUGCACGGAGAGGCGGAACUUAACACCUCACACACUAUUGGCCAGCUAGGACUCUGCAUCGCUGACAUCUUUGG